rnacentral:rRNA from 1 species
UAUUGGACAAUGGGGGCAACCCUGAUCCAGCCAUGCCGCGUGAGUGAUGAAGGCCUUCGGGUUGUAAAGCUCUUUUGGCGGGGACGAUGAUGACGGUACCCGCAGAAUAAGCCCCGGCUAACUUCGUGCCAGCAGCCGCGGUAAGACGAAGGGGGCUAGCGUUGUUCGGAAUUACUGGGCGUAAAGCGCGUGUAGGCGGUUUUCCAAGUUGGGUGUGAAAGCCUUGGGCUUAACCCAAGAAAUGCACUCAGUACUGGAAGACUAGAGGACCGGAGAGGAUAGUGGAAUUCCCAGUGUAGUGGUGAAAUACGUAGAGAUUGGGAAGAACACCAGUGGCGAAGGCGGCUAGCUGGACGGUUCUGACGCUAAGACGCGAA